rnacentral:ncRNA from 1 species
CUUAUAGAGAAAGGUGGAGGGACAGGCCCUGCGAAACCUUGGCAACCUUUCAAGUUCAAUGCUGAUUUCGGUGCCAAAUCCUUUACGAUAAAAAACGGAAAUGAUAAG